UUUCCGCCAGUGGGCGUACGCUCUUUUCGAAGAUUAAGCCAUGCAUAUGCUAGUUCAUACAUUAAAAAUGUGAGACUGUGGAAGGCUCAGUAUAUCAGUUAUAAUCUGCUCGAUUGUAAAGGUUAUUGGAUAACCGUGGGAAAUCUAGAGCUAAUACAUGUACUAUCGUGGUUUACUACGAUAAUUGCAUUUAUUAACUAUUACCAACCGUAUUGAGGUGCAUGUUUGCCUCUUUGCGUGAUGAAUCUAGAUAACUUUGCAGAUCGUAUGGCCUUGAGCUGACGACAUUUCGAUUGAAUUUCUGCCCUAUCAACUUUUGUCGGCAGUUUAGUGGACUGCCGAGGUUAUCACGGGUAACGGGGGAUCAGGGUUCGAUUCCGGAGAGGGAGCCUGAGAAACGGCUACCACAUCCAAGGAUGGCAGCAGGCGCGCAAAUUACCCAAUCCAGAUAAUGGGAGGUGGUGAAGAAAAGUACCAAGUGACGGUCGAAAGAUUUGUCAAUUUGGAAUGGAAACAAUUUAAGAAAUUGGUUUGAGUAACAACUGGAGGGCAAGUCUGGUGCCAGCAGCCGCGGUAAUUCCAGCUCCAGUAGCGUAUCUCAAAGUUGCUGCGCUUAAAACGCUCGUAGUUGGAUCAGAAAACAUGUAAUAGUUGGUGCUAACAAGUAUUGAUGUGUCUGAAAGUAUUAUAUGUUCUCAUAUAAUAGCGAGAAGAUGCGUUAAUAUUUAGUAGUAACUGUAAGCUAAUACAUGUUAAUUGCAUGUGAGGAUGAUAAUCGACCUUUAGUGAGUUGAUAUUCGUGUCUCACAGAGUGUGCCUUGAGUAAAUCAGAGUGCUUAAAGCAAGUAUUUAUGCUUGAAUGUUGAUAGCAUGGAACGAACAAUCGUGUAUGGUGUGUAAUAAAUGAAGCAUGUAUGUAUAUACAUUGUUUGUAUUAUUAUACUACACCGACCACCAAUUACGGAUGUUGGUUCCGUAUUGGGGUACUGAUUAAGAGGAGCGGUUGGGGGCAUUGGUAUUUGGCAGCGAGAGGUGAAAUUCUUGGACCUACCAAGGACCAACAAAUGCGAAGGCAUCUGUCAAGACCGUAUCCAUUAAUCAAGAACGAAAGUGAGAGGUUCGAAGACGAUCAGAUACCGUCCUAGUUCUCACUGUAAACUAUGCCGACCCGGGAUCAGUUUGGAGCAAUUUCCACGCUCGAGGUUGGUCCCCCUGGGAAACCUAAAGUUUUUCGGUUGCGGGGGGAGUAUGGUCGCAAGGCUGAAACUUAAAGGAAUUGACGGAAGGGCACCACCAGGGGUGGAGCCUGCGGCUUAAUUUGACUCAACACGGGAAAACUUACCUGGUCCGGACAUUAAGAGGAUAAACAGACUGAAAGAUCUUAUUUUGAUAUGAUGAUUGGUGGUGCAUGGCCGUUCUUAGUUCGUGGAGUGAUCUGUCAGGCCAAUCCCGGUAACGAACGAGAGCACAUUCUCCAUUUGAAGCGCCAAAAAAAAUAUGUUUUUGCAUACUAUAUCAUGUGCGAUAAUGUUGUUGUUGGUAUUGAGUUUUUGUUUUUACUUGAUAAUGUUUCUGUUGUGGCAACAUAACAGUUGCAUUAAAGAGUAAUUAUAUUUAACCUUCCUUUUGGUGUGACAAUGUAUUGAUCGCAAGAUUAGUACGUUGUAUCAUGGAGAGACAGCGGAAUAUAUUUCAAAAUCCGAGGAAGUGUGGCUAUAACAGGUCUGUGAUGCCCUUAGAUGUUCAGGGCUGCACGCGCGCUACAAUGGUUGUGACAACGAGUUUCUGAAUCGAAAGAUUUGGGUAAUCUUGCAAUCACAGCCGUGGUUGGGAUCGACGUUUGUAAUUACGUCGUGAAAUAGGAAUCCCUAGUACGUGCGAUUCAUGAAAUCGCGCGGAUUUCGUCCCUGCCCUUUGUACACACCGCCCGUCGCUACUACCGAGUGAAUGGUGCCAUAAUGCCUUGGGAGCGGACGUCGUUACUAGGUUAACGCCUGGGAGGGCGCUGCAAUCAGCGUAGAAUGGUGCAAUUUCGAGGAAGUAAAAGUCGUAACAAGGUUUCCGUAG
rnacentral:rRNA from 1 species